rnacentral:lncRNA from 1 species
CUCUUUCCUGCCACCAUGUAAGAUGUGACUUUGCUCCCCAUUCACCUUCAGCCAUGAUUGUGAGACCUCCCCAGCCAUGUGGAACUGUAGUUUUGUUUCACUCUAAUGCUUCCCUUAACGUGCUUAGCCAGAGUACUUUGGUUAUAAACCGGAGUACUUUGUCUUCAACAAGAAGGGACUGUCUCAGAGACCCAGGAAAAGGUCUAUGCCAGGCAGUAUGGGGCACAGACUUCUGAGGAAUUGUUAAGAUAAUAUUGACAACAUACCAUGGACUGAGUCAAGCUAUCCAGUAAUCUAGUGAAGAAGCUGAUGAGUUCAUGAGACUGCCGGUUCAAACUCAGCAUGAUUUUAUCGUCUUUCAAGAAGGAGAGAAUGUAAAUAAAUUAGCUAACUUUGGAAUCUUGCAUUCUCAUUUGUUUAGUAGUUAUUUAAAUUCAUUAAAUUGCUUCAUAUAAGUAACCAUUAUUCUUGACGGUAAAAUUAAGUUUUUCUGUGCCUGGCUUAUUUCACUUAGCAUAAUGUCUUCCUUGGUCAUCCAUGUUAUUACAAAUGGUAAGAUGUUUUUCUUUUGCGAGACUGAUCUUAUUUUCUCAAGAUGACUGACUGGAAACAUCAGAUGCCAGUUCUCAGAAAGAUCAAAGUUACAACUGAAUGGUCAUGAUGUGAACAGAAAGCUAAAGGAAGAGAGCCGGGACUGUUGCAGAGCCCACAGGAAAAAGCUGGGACACAGAAAAGGAAGGUAGCAAGAGUCUGGCAGAGAUUGACCUCCGAGGAAUUUGAAGUCCCACAGAGGGAAUGCAGCAGAGGCUUUCUCCACUGCAGACUGUCACGAAUGCACUUGAAGACAGCCUUUCCAGUGCUAUUCACAGAAACUGCACCCCCGUUGAAAGUGAGCUUGUACCCCACUGGCAUGCAUGAUGGGCAGGGCCCAAUCUCCCCCUCCGUACAUAGAGGAGCAGCAUCGCAGCAACAGAAGGCAGUCAAGCCAUGAAGCCUGGUCUGGACUGGAAGAAGAAGCAUUGUCCUGGGGUCAUUUCAGUCCUGGGGUCAUUUCAAAAUAUUCUUCUGCCAGAAUAUUUUCUCUGACCUCAGUAACACUGUGGCCAGAGUCAAAGGACACUGUCUAUAUGAACUGAAGGUCAUGAGCUCUGUGACAGGGGCACAACAGGGAAGCAAAUCACAUUCCUCCCUGCCCAGGACUAGAGACAGAUGUAACCCCCCAACUUCUUCCCCCAAGACCUCAGUACAUCCCAACACAACUCUCCCUGCCUGCCCCCAUCAGGAUGGGUUGCCUCCACUUAUCAAAGGGCUACCAAAUGUUACUCUUAAGCGCCACCUACUGGAAUGGAGACUGCUGCAUCACUGAAUAAAAAUCCCUGCUGUCCGAAGAGCACAGGGUUAGUGCAUGAGAUAAGCUUCCUGAGACCGCUGCAUUCCCAGUCACGCAGGGCAUAGUGUAUUGGCUCAUAUGCCCAACACAUUGCUAAGGCAAGCAGCAUUUGAGAAAACCACCACACAUGAUUCCAUAUCUUUGUUACUGUGAAUGUGCUGCAAUGAACAUGGGAAUGCAGAUAACGCAUCAAAACACUGGUUUCACUUCUUUUGGAUAUAUACCCAGCAAUGAGGUUGCUGGAUCAUAUUUUUAAUUUUCUGGGGAACCUCCAUGCUGUUUUUUUAUAACGACUUUACCCAUUUACAUUCCCACCAAUAGUGAACAAGUGUUUUCUUUUCUCCACGUCUCCACCAACACUUAUUAUCUUUUGCUUUUUUGAUAAAAUACACUCUAAUACGUAUGAGGUGAUAUCUCAUUGCGGUUUUAAUUUACAUUUCCCUGAUGGUUAGUGAUGUUGAGAAUUUUUUCAUAUCUGCAUUGGCCAUUUGUAUGUCUUCUUUUAAGAAAUAUCUAAGUCUUUUGUCCAUUUUUAAUUCUGUUAUUUAUUUUCUUGCUAUUGAUUUGUUUAAGUUCCUUAUAGAUUUUGGAUAUUAACCCCUACCAGAUGUAGCAAACUGAAUUCAAUGGCACAUUAAAAGGAUGGUUCACUAUGAUCAGGUGGGAUUCAAGAAUGGAUCACCAUAUGCAAAUCAAUAAAUGUGAUACACCCCAUUAACAGAAUGAAGAACAAAAACCAUAUGAUCAUCUCAAUAGAUGUAGAAAUGCAUUUGACAAAAUUCAACAUUUUUUAUGAUAAAAACUCUCAACAAAUUAGUUAUAGAAGCAAUGUACCUCAACACCAUAAAGGUCGUGUAUCACAAGCCCACAUAACAUAAUAUGCAAUGGUGAAAAGUUAAAGCUUUUCCUCUAAGAUCAGGCACAGUAUAAGCAUGCCCAAUCUUGCCGUUUCUAUUCAACAUAAUAAUGGAAAUCCUAGCCAAAGUGAUUAGGAAAGAGAAACAAUAAAAAACAUCCAACUCAUAGAUAAGGGAGUUAAAUUGUUUCUGUUUACAGACAAAAU